rnacentral:lncRNA from 1 species
GUGCAGCUGUGGGUGCCUAGUGAAAGGAAUGCUGGUGCUGGCGAGGAGGCUGCUACAAUGACUUUUUCCUUCUUGAUACAAUGACAGCUUUUUCCUUCUUGGUGGAAUGGGAGCUAUUUGAAGAAAGGAAAGUUUGAGCAAAGGCAAGGUACAACAUCAUUACUUUUUAAAAAGCCCACUGGGAGGUACAAACAGGAGCAAACUCAAUGGCUUUCACAAUAACCUGGGUGAAGAUAAGGAUUAAGAUAAGGGGCGGCUUGAACUAGGCGAUAGAUGGAGAUAGAGGCGGGAACGUGUGAUUAAAGGGAGUUAAAAGACAACCCGUUAUCUACACCCCACCUGAAGGUGCAUAGCAUUCUUUGGGUAGUUUUUGAGUAGCUCUUGUUUUUCUUGUCUAGAAAAAGUUUCUCCAAAAAUGCAGAAGAAUUCAGAUUAAGGACAAAGCAAAGCUUGACAUUCCAUUGGUGAGGGCUAGCGCUUCACUUGCAGUGACCAGGAAAUGGAGAUCACAGCUUGGGAGUUUUCAGAGCCUGAACUGAUUUUCAACAUAAAAGUGGCAAGAGUCAUUGAUGAGUCAACAUGGGAUAUUAGCAAAACUAAGAAAGGAGGAAGACUGUAGGCUUUUUUUCCUGAAUGUUUCUGACUUUAGAAUGUUGAUAUUUCUGGGCGUUAAUAAUGGAAAGAGUCAAGUUGCCCAGUGUGUCUGAAGGAGCACAGGCUUACGUGUAGAUCGGCUGAGUCUGAUCAGCUUUGGACAUCAAAUGUGGAUGCCGUGUCGGCAACUGUAUCUAUGAGCUUGGAACUCAGGACCUCUAGAAGAGCAGUCAGUGCUCUUAACCACUGACCCAUCUCUCCAGCCCUAUUUGUUUGUUUCUUAAGGCAGGAAAGACAGCUCAAACCUGGUAACUUAAGUUUGGUCCCUAGGACCUACUUGGUGGAAGGAAAGAAAGGACUUUGGCAAGUUGCACAUCCUGACACCCACAUAACCACCCUGUACCCUCCCCAAAACCACUCCACCACAAAAUAGAAAUGUUAUAAAAACAAUGACAAUGAAAACCCUGGAAAAAUGGAAUCUUCUGUUAUACCCUGUAAUCCCUAGUACUGAGAACGCAGUCAGUUUGUCGACUUGUUUAUUCUCCAGGGUUGGAGCUCGACCAGGGCUGGUCUCACAAGCGCUAGGCAAAUAUAGAAACAUUAUGUAAAUAUUUUCAUAUAUAUUUUAAUUUUUUUCAUUGGCACGUAGUCAUAUUUAUUCUGUGGAUUUUUUUUUUUUAAUUUGUCGAAAACAUAUCAACUACAAGGAAUAUGGCAGACGCUAUGCAAACAGUUGUAGUUUGUGUCAGGGAGAAUUUUGUUGGUUGUGAUGACCAGUUUGUUCUGGAGUCUCUUACCAAAAGUUGUCUUUUGACUCUACAUACAUGCCGUGGUGCCCUCACUGAUGCCUGUCAUAUACACAAUAAAAAUACAUAAGCAAAGAUAUAAGGAUGAAGAAAAGAAUUUUUAGUUGCUUAUUUGUUUGUUUGUUUUCCAAGACAGGGUUUCUCUAUGUAGCCCUGGCUCUUCUAGAGCUGGUUCUGCAGACCAGGGUGGCCUCAAACUCACAGAAAUCUACCUGCCUCUGCCUCUCAAGGGCUGGGACUGAAGGUAUGGGCUACCAUGCCCGGUGAGAUAAAGAACAUCUUACUGUCGAACUCACCACUUCAAUUUUAAUCCGUUACUACAGCGCCACAUUCCCAGCCAGUCUUGUGUUCCUUCUUUGAGACCCUCCUUAGCCUCAAUAUUCUUGCAGUUUGCUUUAAGUCCCUCCAUCAGGCCGAUCUUCGGACAUUUUUAGGCUGCUCUGCUCUCUUACCAGAUCAGCCAAGUCUCUGCAUGCCUGGUCCCAUGAUCCUGCCCUUUCUCUAGAAAGGAUGGAGAGCUUACGUUCUGAACAUGUGGAGGGGAGGUGGGGAGUGGGGGAGGGAAGAGUUAACUGGGAAUCUUCCUCAAUCUCUUCUCCACCAUACUUUAUGUUUAAAGACAGGGUCUUAAUUUAACCCAGGCGGUCCUCCCUAAGGAUGGCCUUGAAUUUCUGACCACUUCUGUUGCCACCUCCUGACUACUGAUAAUUCAGGUGAACACCAUCCGUUUCUGAGACUUGGCGGUAAAACCCUCGGAUUUGCGCAUGCUACGCAAGCAUUCUAUCAACUAAGCCACAUCCUCAGACAGGGUCUCUCACUGAACCCGGAGCUCAGCGAUUGGCUAGCCAGACUGGCCAGUGAGCCCUGGUCAUUCUCCUGUCUUUGCCUCGCCAGCCCUGGGAGUUCAGGUUUAUAUCAACACACUUGUUUGUUUGAGUGCGGGUCCUGGUGGUCCCCGCUCACAUCUUCAUGCAUUCCUUGCUAGCACUCUUCUGCCUAGGCUAUCUCCCCUGCUCUUUGUUUUGUUGACAUUUUGAAGUCACUUUUCACAACAUUUACUUGUCCUGGAGAGGGCUACAGCACACAGACUCAUCUUUGUUAUAGCUAAUAUGAAGUUAAAGAAAGAAAGAAAGAAAGAAAGAAAGAAAGAAAGAAAGAAAGAAAGAAAGAGAACCCUAUUGAUUCUGUUGUUUAUGAGUAACUGAAAAUUUUCAAACCUCUGUUAGCCACUGAAAUUUAUAUCUUUGUGAAUCAUUUGAAUUCUUUGUUUCUCCUAUGGAAACUUUAGUGCUUUUAUUUUUUUUUUUCUUUUACCUUUUUCUUUCCUACUUAGGUUCUCACCGUUUAGUUUAAACUAACCUUCAACUUGCAAUCCUCUGGCCUCUGCCUCCUGAGUGCUAAGAUAUGGACCUGCCUGCAUGGCUUCGGUGCUAUAAACAAACAAACAAACAAACAAACAAACAAACAAACAAGCUGGAAAUGUGUCUCAGAAGCUAGGGGCAUUGUCUGCUCUCCAAGGUGACCAGAGUUCAAUUCCCAGACCCCAUAUGGUAGUUCCUCUAUAACUUCCAGUUCCAGGGGAUUUGAUGCUUUCUUCUGACCUGUGUGGGCAUAAGGCAGGAACCAUGGUUCAUGGACAUACAUGCAGAUAAAACACCUAUGCACAUGAAGAAGAAGAAGGAGGAGGAGGAGGAGGAG